rnacentral:rRNA from 1 species
AAUAAACGCUGGCGGCGUGCUUAACACAUGCAAGUCGAACGGUAAGGCCUUCGGGUACACGAGUGGCGAACGGGUGAGUAACACGUGGGUGAUCUGCCCCCUACUCUGGGAUAAGCCUGGGAAACUGGGUCUAAUACCGGAUAUGACCUCCUUCUGCAUGGUUGGUGGUGGAAAGUUUUUUCGGUAGGGGAUGAGCCCGCGGCCUAUCAGCUUGUUGGUGGGGUAAUGGCCUACCAAGGCGACGACGGGUAGCCGGCCUGAGAGGGCGGCCGGCAGCCCUGGGACUGAGACACGGCCCAGACUCCUACGGGAGGCAGCAGUGGGGAAUAUUGCACAAUGGGCGAAAGCCUGAUGCAGCGACGCCGCGUGGGGGAUGACGGCCUUCGGGUUGUAAACCCCUUUCAGUCGGGACGAAGCGAGAGUGACGGUACCGAUAGAAGAAGCACCGGCCAACUACGUGCCAGCAGCCGCCGUAA